AAACACCUCCUCCUGCCUUCAGCAGUGACACUUUCACUCUUCAAAUGGAAAUUCUAUUGGUGAUUUGUAUUACUUUAAUUUUCUUACCAGCUGCUGUACACUGUGACAGCAUCUCUUCUCUGCAGACAAAGGUCUCCAAGGAGGAAGAGGGAUCAGUGUCUCUUCAAUGUUCUUUCUCCACAAGUAGUUCAGGAUAUGGUCUGUACUGGUACCGUCAGUAUCCUCACACCCCACUGCAAUUCAUUCUGUUUAAAGAAGGUGGUACAUGGAGUGGAGAGCACACUGAGGACUUCGCUAAAGACCGUUUCAGCUCUGCUGUAGAUGGGAGCUCCACCACACUCACGAUUACGAAGCUCAGCCUGAAUGACUCAGCUGUUUAUUUCUGUGCUCUGAGAGCAGCACAGUGUAGAAAAGUCAUUGAGAAGCUGUACAAAAACUCUGGGCUUUGUGCCAGGGACUCUUCCGAGAUCAAACGGAGCUUCUUGCGAGUUCUUGUCGAGUGUCAAUCUGUCACAUCACAGUGGGAGGUUAAGUGUUUGACUGUGACUCAUGUGGGGAGAGAGAAUUCUUCUGUCAGUGAAAAAAGGACCUGUGCCCGUGGAAUCACUAAAUUCCCACAAUUUUGUUUACCAUAUUUCUUUGCUGUUGAGUUGGAAAAUAGUGAAUCUCAUUGAUUUCAUUUAUUGCUCCCCGUCAUUAGAGCACCUGGGGACCAGGUACAAGUCCACUGGCUUCUACCGAUUCCAGUUGAUAGCAUUUUUGUGCCUUUUGCCCUGUGUGUUUGUGCACAACAGGCACAGUGCUGUUCAUCCCUAUCCUCUUCAUUGCACCUCCCCAGAUCAAAUACCUUUUUACAACUGUAAAAGCUGCCAGGGUGGGUGUGGAAAUGUUCCAGCCAGAGGCUGUCCUUCACUGAUCAGGUGUUUCCUUGCUGCGGUGCAGACAGCUGACGAUUAGCAGGCUGCAGAACGGCACUGGAGACACACAGCCAGUUAGCUGGUUGUAAACUCAGCGGGACAAAACGCCAGACCAGCUCUGCGCCUCUGCCCUUGGUCAUG